UACGUAGGUGGCAAGCGUUGUCCGGAAUUAUUGGGCGUAAAGCGCGCGCAGGCGGUCCUUUAAGUCUGAUAUGAAAGCCCACGGCUCAACCGUGGAGGGUCAUUGGAAACUGGGGGACUUGAGUGCAGAAGAGGAAAGCGGAAUUCCACGUGUAGCGGUGAAAUGCGUAGAGAUGUGGAGGAACACCAGUGGCGAAGGCGGCUUUCUGGUCUGUAACUGACGCUGAGGCGCGAAAGCGUGGGGAGCAAACAGG
rnacentral:rRNA from 1 species